UGGGGAAUAUUGCACAAUGGAGGAAACUCUGAUGCAGCGACGCCGCGUGAGUGAAGAAGGUCUUCGGAUCGUAAAACUCUGUCCUUGGUGAAGAAAGAAAUGACGGUAGCCAAGGAGGAAGCCCCGGCUAACUACGUGCCAGCAGCCGCGGUAAUACGUAGGGGGCGAGCGUUGUCCGGAUUUACUGGGCGUAAAGGGUGAGUAGGCGGUGAUAUGUGUCAGAUGUAAAAGGCUAUGGCUUAACUAUAGUUAGCAUUUGAAACUGUAUUACUUGAGUGCAGGAGAGGUAAGUGGAAUUCCUAGUGUAGCGGUGAAAUGCGUAGAUAUUAGGAGGAACACCAGUGGCGAAGGCGACUUACUGGACUGUAACUGACGCUGAGUCACGAAAGCGUGGGUAGCAAACA
rnacentral:rRNA from 1 species